GAUUAGUGGCGAACGGGUGAGUAACACGUGGGCAAUCUGCCCUGCACUCUGGGACAAGCCCUGGAAACGGGGUCUAAUACCGGAUACGACCACUGAGGGCAUCCUCGGUGGUGGAAAGCUCCGGCGGUGCAGGAUGAGCCCGCGGCCUAUCAGCUUGUUGGUGGGGUGAUGGCCUACCAAGGCGACGACGGGUAGCCGGCCUGAGAGGGCGACCGGCCACACUGGGACUGAGACACGGCCCAGACUCCUACGGGAGGCAGCAGUGGGGAAUAUUGCACAAUGGGCGAAAGCCUGAUGCAGCGACGCCGCGUGAGGGAUGACGGCCUUCGGGUUGUAAACCUCUUUCAGCAGGGAAGAAGCGAAAGUGACGGUACCUGCAGAAGAAGCGCCGGCUAACUACGUGCCAGCAGCCGCGGUAAUACGUAGGGCGCGAGCGUUGUCCGGAAUUAUUGGGCGUAAAGAGCUCGUAGGCGGCUUGUCACGUCGGUUGUGAAAGCCCGGGGCUUAACCCCGGGUCUGCAGUCGAUACGGGCAGGCUAGAGUUCGGUAGGGGAGAUCGGAAUUCCUGGUGUAGCGGUGAAAUGCGCAGAUAUCAGGAGGAACACCGGUGGCGAAGGCGGAUCUCUGGGCCGAUACUGACGCUGAGGAGCGAAAGCGUGGGGAGCGAACAGGAUUAGAUACCCUGGUAGUCCACGCCGUAAACGUUGGGCACUAGGUGUGGGC
rnacentral:rRNA from 1 species